UAGGUGGUAUUGCUGGUAGCUGUCGUAGUGCUCGUUCCGAUCGGAAAGGUGAUUUUCUAAGUGACGUCGUAGACUCCCAUUUAACAAUGACAGCCAUACGCUUCCGGUGAGGUGUGCAAGCAUACGUUCGGCUACAAUAGCUUCGGCAGAUGCAUUCCUCUUGCUCGCUGUCGUUGCCGUCAUCUCCAUCACUGCCACCGCCUGAGCCCUUAUCGCUACCAGCGUUAUCGUUGUUGUUGUUGUUGUCGCCGCCACCGGUUGCAAGGCCGUGCGUAAGCCCGCCGCGGCCAUACAUCUAGACUACAGGGUCGGUUAAGCAUUUCUAGCAUCAUCCUGUGUUAGACGCCUAUAAACAAGGGUCUAACAAGCCCAAACGAUGACGGUAGUGUAAAAAGAGAGGGUGGAAUAGUUGACGUGAGCUCUGUCGACGACUAGGAACUACUUGCAAGUUAAGAACCUUUUGAAUAAAGGCCUUCAAAGCCCUUUCGUAAUCGACUGUUUUCUUCGUGACAACAUUUUGUAACGCUGACUCAGUUGUUCUCCUUUGUCACCCACUAUAGACGAGAAGAUACGCCGAGCUCGCAACUAUGGAUGGAAAUCCGAAAUUAAACGGGCUGAGCAGAACGAACAGUAAGACUAAGUGAAGUCAUUAUCAUUGGCAUAGCAAGGAUAAUUUUCUCGCAAUGCUAUCGUCGAGCCACCCGUUUCCGCAAAAAAUUCAACAGCUGUACUUACGACUGAUCGUCAUAUACGUUUAUCAGAGUAGCAUUGUAAGAUGUGAGCAGAAUUCUGAUCAGCAGUAUUUUAAGGUUCGGCCGCAGAGUGUCCAGCUUAUUGAGGGUCAGACAACAGAACUACAGUGCCACAUUGGUAAUCUCGGAGGGCAGGUUCAAUGGAGUAAGGACGGCUUUGUGCUCGGUUAUGAAUCAGUAAUACCAGGCUUUCCUCGUUAUCAAAUGGUUAUUGACGAACCCCGAGGAAUCUACAACCUUCGAUUAAAUCAAGUUACUCUCGACGACGAAGCGGAGUACCAAUGUCAGGUCGGGCCAGUACCAGAUCAUCAAGCGAUUUGGGCAGCUGCCUAUGUAACUGUUCUUGUUCCACCGAAGCAGAUUGAGCUCCGUCAUCGUGGAGGAAACGAUAGCAAAGUUGUCGAAGCGCGCGAGGGAGAACAAACCACACUUAGCUGCUGGGUUCGGGACACGAAGCCACCAGCCAAUAUUCGAUGGUACCGGAAUAAUCAACUCUUUGAUAAAGAAAAGGUUCACCGACGCGUCGACACCAACGGUGAUCGGGAGCUGAGUUCGAUCUUUACAAAGGUCGAAAUUUAUCCCCGGCAUGACGACUCGCGUGCCGCUUACACCUGUGAGGCUCAGCAUCCUGCUCUAAAAGCACCACUCAGAGCCUCACUCGUCAUGAGUGUCUUGUAUCCUCCUGGCGAGCCUGAGAUCCAUGGACAACCUGAGACGCAACUUCAGUCUGGUGACACUUUAACGCUGGCUUGUCUUUCUCGCGGGGGCAACCCACCGGCCCGACUAGACUGGUUCCGAAACGACGUUUCUGUACGUUCGCGUUACCGACAAGGAACGCAUGAGGCGACAGCUACCCAUAGCGUGGUGCUUGUAGACCGCGAUGACGGAGCUGUGUUUCGUUGUGACGCCUCGAAUUCUGUCACGCACCAGCCCCUAUCAACCGCCAUCACAAUCCAUGUAACCCCGCACAAUCGGACACGCCCCGAGGGCCGACGAAGGAAAAGAAAGAAGACAGAUUAAACUAUAUUGUCAAAAUAUAUAUAUAUAUAUACAAUAUAUGAAAAUUUAUAUAAUACAAUAGCAGUUGCAAGGAACACACUUUGCAUUAAUCUAUCCGUAGUUGAGUCUACUAUUAAUAGAAAAAUUACGUUUGAAUAACGAAUAGCAGCAACCAUAACCAUGGCGAGUCACCGAGAUCGAUCGUUAGUUGGUGAACACAAAAGCAGAUACCUAUAGUGGCCAUCAUUUUUGUCCACUAGCGAUUUUUAAAAAGCAGAGGCUGCCAGGACAGAUCGGGUAGGACCAAUAAAUAUGAAAAACAAAUAUACGUUUACGAUUUCAACGCUCGUAUUGCCUGCUUAUGCCGCGCUUGUUCGGCGAGCACUGGUAGCUAGAUGCAAACGGCGGCGAUUCUGCAGCUUGGAAGUAUCUAAGUAAGUCUCGACCGUGAUUUUGCAAUGCGAACACUCUACCCAUCCUUAGACGUCGACUACCCGACAAUGGCGCAUUCGGGUAAUUGCUUCUUGCUUCUGUUUUUCUAUCCGAGAUUUAUCCAAAACCGCUCUCGUUCGUAGAUUGAAAGGAAGGCGGGCGCAAUAGAUUCAUAUCCAGUAGUCGCUCUGCGUAAUUUCCCUGUGUGACGACAUCGCUCGCGUACGUAGCCGAACAUUGACUGUUCAUGCUGGUGAUCUGGGCUUAACGUGUUGGCGAAUGUUAUAAUAUGGAUGAAAAAAUUAAAGAUAGCCUAGCGCAGAACGUUACACUAUACAUAUAUUACAAUGCAACAUUUCGUAUCAACUCAAUUUCUUCUUUAAAAAAUAUAUAUAAGGAUAUUUGAUUUUUUCUCUUAUCGGCUUUCUUUUUUUUUUUCGUAUCGGCGUUGGUAUCGGCGAAACGUUUAUAUUCUAAUCUGAAUGAAAUAUGGAUUUUCUUGCCGAUCACAUUCUCUAUGUCUAGUUAGUUUAAUUGUUAAAGCAAAUUUUCACCGCCAUAGCUAGCAGCGCUCAUAGGCAACCGCAUAUGACUCUUCGUCGUUACUCUGAGCUACAACGAUGGCCCUCGAAGCAACAAGAGCGAUAUUAAACAACCAAGCGACAACGAUUCGAUCAUCUACCUGGCAAGUAACUGCCUAAGGAAGCCAGAUACUUUUUACGUUCUGUAGUCAUUCGAGACUGUGUAUUUUACCGUUAAGUGUAUUUUAGCAGUAUCAGCUAGGUGCGAUUUUCCUCGCUAGCAGUACCCUAGUUCUGGCUCGUCGUCGUCGUCUGUGGGUGCCAAUGGAGUUCCAAGCCGCGCUGCUCAUUCAAUCAGUGAACGAAGCUCAUACAUGCGAAGACAAUCGAUAACCCGUCAUAGUACGUAUUUUUUCUGUGAUAACUAGUUAUCACCAAAUAUCAGUGAAGCUAUAGAGCACGGAAACUGCCUCGCUGCUCAGUCGAUUGGGCAUUUUCAGCGGCGGCGGCGGCGGCGACUGGCACACCUUGAACAAAAAACAUGAAGCUAAUUGCGGGUCACAGCGGGCUGCUCUACUUCUGCUGAGUGUUAAAGGUCUUCAGUGGACAUGUCCCACCUGCAGAAGGAGCGCAAAGGACAAAUUUGAACCGAUAUGUUUCAAGAGAAACUUCUGGCUCUGCGACAGGACUAAGGAAAGCAGCACUUCAUGACGAAGAUAGCGACACACAGUCGAACGUCUGCGAGACAGGACAGCUCAAAGUAGUGAAUAAUCCGUAUAGAAAAGGAUAAAGCUCUAUAAUAAUUGCUAUCCCGUUAAGAGAAAAAGAGCACGUCGAUGGAAUCAUGGCAAAGACGACUGCCGACAGGAUAGCUCAGGCCAUUUUUAGGUUAAAUGUCACUCACAGACCGGAUGUGGCGCUCACCGUGCCAAACGUCGUAAUCAAUGUCGAACAAAAAAAGCAUCGUCACAGAGGUGCAGGCACUCGGUGUGGAAGGAAUCUUCAGCGACGCUGAACAGAUUUCAAGUACAUCUCUAGGAAGAUCCCUAGCUAAUGCAAAGUAUCUCAAGUAUCAUCAAGCGGUCUUUGAAAUGAAUAGCAAUGCCGUGACAGCUGCUACUGGAAUUGGUGUCACAAAUGCUUACGCUUUUGAGCCAGACCCCAUUAAGAUCAUUAUAUUUUGCCAUUCAUGUCGAGGGCGUUCUCCUCUACUUCAGCGGUGCUUGCUUUUAACUCUGAGAGAUUCGUUCCAGCUGGCACUAUACACGCAUUAUCACACGACGAAAUUUGAAUUACUGACUGCAGCCCUAGAAAAGACUUCGUGUCGCUAGCUACGGUGACCUGUAUCUACUUCCAUGAUGGAAUUCUAUUGAUUUUGUUUUAUGAGACGUUUAUCGAUACUUUAUCUGUACAAUCGGUUCAUCACAUCGAAAUUCUUUUUGACAGUGGAUUACUUGGCGCCCGCGAAAUGUCCUUGGCUGUAAUGAAGUCCAUUGAUGUAGUAAUCGACUGGUUCCAACGUACCAUAGAACUGACAUUCCUCAAAGAAAAAUACCUACAGGUUGUUUAGCGUGAGCUUUGCGCCUGCAGGUCUCUAUGCGGUUUGUUGUCGCUUCUUUUUUUUUUUUGUUUUAUCUAUUUCAUACUAUUUUUUUUUCCUACGUAUUUUAAACUUCUUGACUUGCGACAUCACGAUCCCCGUCUGGCAGAAGGUCGUCGACGACGUGAAAUUUCUUAGAUAUAUAUAUAUAUACCUAUAGAAGCGGCAAACGACGGCCGCCCUUCGCUAAAAGGGUUUGUUUACAUAUCAAGUGAUCACACCCAGCAGCCAGGUGAGUGAAUUCAUUGUUGCUACGGCGACAGUCUGGAAUCGUGUCGGGGCUUUCACCGCUACUGGGCCCGUUUAUUUCAACUAGGAGCCCUACUUGAGAAAUCGAACAACUGUAUCUUUCCUUCGUCCACAUAUCUUGCCUGAGGGACCUCUGGGAGCUUCAUAUUUUCGUGCGAAAUGACCAACGAUGCACAGUUUUCGGCAAGUCAUGCUCCCAACUGUACGUCGCCAAAGGAACUUGAUUAAUUCAGUAGGGAUUCGUUUGAAGAACUAGCAGAGUUUCAGAUAAAGACAAUUAGCAGCUAGAGAGCGGGUAGUUCAUGAAUGCCUACAAGGACAUAAACUGGGCCGGGUUGGAGUUUGCUUUGGCGAGUUCAAUUGCUUCGUUUUGUAGUUGAGUCUACUCUGAGGGCGGAGCUGCUCCUCGUAAAGAUUGUAACAGUAUUUUGUAGAAACGACACAUUGAACCCGAAGUUAACUGUAAUUUCUCGCUUUCGAAAUGAUGAAUCGUCACAUCUGACGGGACGAUUAAUCAACAGCAGUAGCUUGUAGUUCCACUUCGAGAUUGCUCAUAUGGUGGCUACAGAAGACGAAGUUUCGUAGUGCUCGUACGCCUCGGAAGUAAUGGACGGUUCCGAGUAACUUCCCCACAUUUGUUAGUAAGAGUUUAAGUUUUUCAUGCAGCACUUAUAAAGUAUUGCCGUAUCGUUUGACGUCUACCCCAGUUCGAUUGUUCGAAAACCACCUGUGCCUUGAUGUAAGCUUCAGCGAUAUCAUGUACAAGAUGGAAAAAACCAUUUAGUUUAACAUCGAAGACUGCUUGCAAGAUAAUGACUUCUGGGAUCGCUCAAAGUUUGCCGUGGAUAUUGCUAUGAACACUGAAGUCUUUACAUGGCUUCUGUCUGAAGCUACUUACAAGCCCAAACUAACUGAACGACUCAAGGAGCGGAGCGAAUAUGAUGUUAAAAUAUCGGGAUAAAAUACCAAAAUAAAAUGAAAAUUACUUCUAGAACAAAAUACACUUUUCACUGAAGAACCGCGACGUGCAUGCCCACGGAGGUUUAGUGGCGUGGCCAUUUUCGGCAGGAAUACAUCUGAUAAUUGUUCUUCUGUGACGUUCCUUUCGUCCGAAGAAACUUGCCGUGGGAUCCGCGAGCCUGCAAGAUCAACUCCAGCUAACAGUUUCAGAAUGAACAAUCAACAUUGCUUUACAAUUGCGGAUAAAGUCUCUGUACGACGCGACCGCUUCCGAGAACUACUCCACGAGGUCUCGGUCAUCAGUACCACCGGUCAGCCUGUCGAUAGAACAAAUGUAUUUGGCACCGCUGCUUUCUUCUACAUGUCGAUAAAGGUCGACGCAUUUGUGGCUCAAAAUAUUAAUUGGGUUAAAAUUGCAGAGAACAUACGUUUUCGACAGAACAACGAGUUAUGACCACAGUAAGUGCACAACUGCUAUUCAGCCAAUCGAACAGGUGUGGACAUUCACGUACAAAAAAAAAGUGACAGUACAGCCAUAUUACCUACAAUAAUAAGAUGCGAUUACUUCGGAACAUGAAGCUGAUUGGGGGUCAUAACGGACUACCCUGCUUUUAUUUCUCGAUAAAUAUGUGCAGCCUAUAAAGGAGACGCAAAGGUGAAGCGUAUCGAUCUCGGAGACGUCGUCAAUAUUUGUGAUCAUCACAUAUAUGACGGCCCCGUUUAUAUGCUCAUUUCACGAGAAGAUGCUUGUAGCACAGAGACAACACGUGCCGCCUCGAGAGAGCGAUAUCUAAAAAAUCGUUCAAAAAUCUAGGUUUGCAAGGAGUAGGCCGAAUGACACUAGUAGUGAUCUAAGAGAAAUCGUGGAAAAAUCGUAGCCGUUGGGGGGCUAAUGUUACAUCGGUGUAAAAAUGUGGAUAGCUUCUUUAUUUAUUUAGAAGGACUGGAAAGAAGCUAAGUUUAACGAUGCCGCAUAUUUCUUAUAGGGCAUACGUUGCUUUGUUUGAUCAAUAAUAUAAUUGUAUUUUACUAGUCAUCUGUAGAAAAAAAAACACCGAUUGUUCUAUAUAUUGCACAAAUUAAAUGUCAGAUUUC